rnacentral:lncRNA from 1 species
UCGUGUAUGUCUGUAAGUGUGCUCUCUCGGAAAAUUUGAAGAAACCAAGUUCUUUUGAUGUGGCUUUAUGCUCUUUUAUUGGUGGCAUGGAGAGGGACGAUGGAAUAUUGAUAUGUCCUUCAGAAUUUUUCUUUAUGACAAGGGCAGGGUUGCUGAAACUUUAGACCGUGCAAAUCUUUCAUUGAAACGGAUUUGUCUUCUGAUGUUGGACUUAUGUUUUUUGAACGACUACCUUUUGCCUCUCGUCUUACCUCUAUUUCAGCUCCAAUCCCCAUCCCUUCAAAACAAACAAAAAGGAAAAAACAGGAUUAUAUUUGGACUUUUUUAUUUCAACUUUAGUUCCUUUUUCUAUGGGAUCUUGAAAUUGAUUGCAUGGGCAUAUCUCCGAACGCAAGGAAUACAGGCCAAUGUAUUUGAAUUAGUUUGCACUAUGAUGACUCAGUUUGUAUCACUGUAUGCAAGGUGGAACAAAGUAACAGGUUGUUCUAUUCGUUCUUUUAUAGAUGAAAAUGACUUUGGUUUGUUCUUCUUGCAACUGUCUUUGUCUAGCACUCUGAUUGGCAUUCAUAUUGAGUUACAUGUAACUCAUCUGGAAUCAUCGUAAGUAACAGUCUAUAAUCUAUUUAUUGAAAUGUUUCAGUAGUUGAAAAUUGAAAUCUUGAAAUCUGACUGGUUGGGUAAAUAAUAAAUAUCACUGAGGGGGCAUUUGUGGCUCCGAGUUGGAUAUUAUAGUCAUUGGGUUAUAAUAGUUAAUGAGUUAUUGUAGUUAGUGUUUGGGGUGCAAAUAUUUUAGUCCGAGUUAGAAUAGAUUGUGUUUGGAGUGGAAAUUAUUUUUGUUUGGGUAGGAAAUGAUAAACACUGUAGCAAAGAAGAAAAAUGAAGAGUGAAAAAUAGUAAAUACUAUAGCAAAGAGGAUUUUGAAAUAGCAUUUACUCUACUUAAUUGUAACCUGUAGGUUGUAAAUAUGUGUACGCACCACUGAUAUUGUUGUUGCCCCAAACAUGGAGUGGGGUAUAAUAACUCACUCCACCAACUUCUAGUUGGUGUCCCAAACGGCCCCUAAGAUUCUAAAAGUUGAUAGAUGGAAACACAUUAGAUGAGCGCUUGUAGUACAAACAUUGAUUCACAAGCUGGAAAAGGAUGUGAUAAUGUAGGAAGAUGCACUUCCAUUGUCAGCUAGGAUAUGUUACUUGAGGUAGCAGCUACACACCUUGACACCUCAAUGAUCUGAUAUGAGUUUUGAAAUUGAGGUAGAAGCUUGAAAUUCGGUAAAUCAUUUCUUGAUAGGUGUGUUAAGGCUGUGGUAAUUGGAUGAUGCACUUCCAUUGUAAACUAAUAUUUGUUAGUUGAGCAUAAGCAGAUUUCAUGUGAUCAAAUAUGUUC